ACAUCCAGCGAACUUGGCAGAGAUGCCUUGGUGCCUUCGGGAACGCUGAGACAGGUGCUGCAUGGCUGUCGUCAGCUCGUGUUGUGAAAUGUUGGGUUAAGUCCCGNAACGAGCGCAACCCUUAUCCUUUGUUGCCAGCGAUUCGGUCGGGAACUCAAAGGAGACUGCCGGUGAUAAACCGGGAGGAAGGUGGGGGAUGACGUCAAGUCAUCAUGGCCCUUACGAGUAGGGCUACACACGUGCUACAAUGGCGCAUACAAAGAGAAGCGACCUCGCGAGAGCAAGCGGACCUCAUAAAGUGCGUCGUAGUCCGGAUCGGAGUCUGCAACUCGACUCCGUGAGGUCGGAAUCGCUAGUAAUCGUGGAUCAGAAUGCCACGGUGAAUACGUUCCCGGGCCUUGUACACACCGCCCGUCACACCAUGGGAGUGGGUUGCAAAAGAAGUAGGUAGCUUAACCUUCGGGAGGGCGCUUACCACUUUGUGAUUCAUGACUGGGGUGAAGUCGUAACAAGGUAAGCGUAGCGAG
rnacentral:rRNA from 1 species